AUAGGUGAUGGAGAGAUACUCAAUUGUUUUUAAGAGGGACAGGUUUUUUCUUUUGUGACUUGACUGUUUUAUUAUUAAUUAUUAUUAUUUCAGAAAGAACACUCUUGUCACACAGAGAGUUCUCACUUCCGGAUGGGUAUGAGAAUGAACUGUGGAAUUUUUUAAACAAUGCACCUGGCUGGAUACCACUCGAGGUGUGCUAAGUCAGAACCCCAUGGUGCAGAACUGAGUGAUUUCUCAUCCGAGCAAGGAACGAGGCCCCUGGAGCUGCGCAGAUGUGAGGGGAGUGAGAGGAGACCGCAGAUAAUUCUUGCUCAGAUCACUGCAAUAACCUCCUAAAAGUCUCCCCACAUCUACUCUGACCUCCAAGUGUCUGUUCUCAACAUAACAGCCAGAGUGACCCCUUCGAAAGAGUGAGGUAUCCUCCUGACAUGCUCUGCUACCCAUCUGCCAGCUGAUGAUAUUAGGCCAGCUGGGGCCAGCCGAUGGUGGAGUCACAAGAUGGACACAUCACAGGUCCCUGAGUGGCCACCCAGAGGACAGCGACUGUGAAGAGGAUGCUGAGGGGAGUUGCAUGUGGUGAGUGGGAAAUAAACUUGACU